GCCGCCACCUCAGCGCCCAACGCGGCCGCUACCUGCAACCACCCCCACCUCCACCCCGUAUCGAUCUGCCGCUUCCUCGAUCUACCUCGCCGCCGCUUCCUCGAUAUGCCUUGCCGCCGUUUGGAUCGUUGCGGCGACGUCUUCGUCGGCCUUCAGCUUCAGCACCUACAUCCUGAAGGAGCACGAUCUCGUCGCUGGUUUCAUCGGUUCUGGGACCCAAACUGCUGAGGGGACUUCCACAACUUGUAUUACUUGAUUUCCCUGUCUGAGACUACAAUCUUGUCCUAGGAUGGCGAUGGACAUGUUGACCAUAUACCUGCACUAUGAAGGUGCAAAUCAGGAAGCCAAAAUUUUACAAAUAUCCAUGAUGAGGCGUGAUGUCUCGUAUUAUUACUGAAUCUUGAUGAUCGAGGAAGUUGGCUUUCAGGCAAUUGACUUUCUGUAAUCUAUGCGAAAAAAACCCGUCUAGGUGAGGGAAACGAGGGAUCUUACGGGUGAAUCUUUUUCAAGACUGAACCAACAGGGGACUGGAACUGAACACCCACACACAGGUUGCUAAAAAAAGGCGUACUUCUUCCAUCAAGGUAAAGAUCCGCCAGGGGGCACGGUUUACUGCACCCAAACUAUCAUGCCUGCUUGAAAAAUGGAUUUUGUUACAAAUUUUGCUCAAUCUGCUAUAUGCAAGUAAAGGAUAAAUUUAUCCAAGCAUUAGCAAGAGAGGUGACCUUGGGCUUAGACUUCGAUGUCGGGUCCAGUUUAUUUAGUUUUUUGGGGCACCUAUACUGGGCUAACAUUUAGAGAGCUCAUAUUGUUCAUGCAAAUUAUAUUAUCAUUGUCGUCGAAUGCUAAUAUUGAUCAUGAUAUGGGCUGCUUCCAUAGUAGUAUUUGGAGUAUGGAUUCAAGAACUAAGGCCGGUGGUAUUGAGUUAGGUGCUGAAUUUGCCCUUGUCCGUAGAGAUCAACCUAUUCUUGAUAAUCAGGAUUUGGUAAGGGAAGUUUCUGAUUGCAAGACAAUUGGUGAGGCUUUCUCUUCAGCAUACUUAAUUGCCUGGCCUUCAACUUUUGAAAGUUAAAAUAUUCUCUUCCACAUUCGGAAAUCAUAUUUCCACAUUCUGAAAUCAUAUUUGUGUACAUUUAAUCACAUAUAUCUAAGGUGCAAUUUUUCCUUUACAGAUUCAAGAGAAGUAAUUGAGUUGCAGCUGAAUUCUUGGAUCAAGAAGCAAAUAAAAUUUGAAGAUUUUAGCUACCAAUAGUCGUAGUUUACAUACAUAGAAUGAAAUAUGUAAUAUCAUCCACAAGAUCUUUUUCUUUCCUCUAACUGAUGCAAAUGCUAUGGUGUAAUAUUCUCCAUAGUUGUGUUUUCUACGCUCAAAAUGAUAUAAAUGAUAUAUUUAUUGUAAUGUAUAUGUGUCAUACACUCUUGUAUAUUCGUAAUAAAUAGCUUCAUAUUUUGAAUUU